UAGGGAAUCUUCGGCAAUGGACGAAAGUCUGACCGAGCAACGCCGCGUGAGUGAAGAAGGUUUUCGGAUCGUAAAACUCUGUUGUUAGAGAAGAACAAGGACGUUAGUAACUGAACGUCCCCUGACGGUAUCUAACCAGAAAGCCACGGCUAACUACGUGCCAGCAGCCGCGGUAAUACGUAGGUGGCAAGCGUUGUCCGGAUUUAUUGGGCGUAAAGCGAGCGCAGGCGGUUUCUUAAGUAUGAUGUGAAAGCCCCCGGCUCAACCGGGGAGGGUAAUUGGAAACGGGGAGACUAGAGUGCAGAAGAGGAGAGUGGAAUUCCAUGUGUAGCGGUGAAAGGCGUAGAUAUAUGGAGGAACACCAGUGGCGAAGGCGGCUCUCUGGUCUGUAACUGACGCUGAGGCUCGAAAGAGUGGGGAGCAAACAGG
rnacentral:rRNA from 1 species